rnacentral:rRNA from 1 species
UACGGGGGGGGGCAAGCGUUGUUCGGAAUUAUUGGGCGUAAAGGGCUCGUAGGCGGUUUGUCGCGUCGGGAGUGAAAACUCAGGGCUUAACCCUGAGCCUGCUUCCGAUACGGGCAGACUAGAGGUAUGCAGGGGAGAACGGAAUUCCUGGUGUAGCGGUGAAAUGCGCAGAUAUCAGGAGGAACACCGGUGGCGAAGGCGGUUCUCUGGGCAUUACCUGACGCUGAGGAGCGAAAGUGUGGGGAGCGAACAGG